rnacentral:rRNA from 1 species
AUAUUGCGCAAUGGAGGGUACUCUGAUGCAGCGACGCCGCGUGAGCGAUGAAGGCCUUCGUGUCGUAAAGCUCUGUCUUAAGGGACGAUAAUGACCGUACCAUAGGAGGAAGCCUCGGCUAACUACGUGCCAGCAGCCUCGGUAAUACGUAGGGGGCGAGCGUUGUCCGGAAUUACUUGGCGUAAAGGGUACGCAGGCGGCCAUGUAAGUCAGAUGUGAAAGGUCACGGCUCAACCGUGGUAAGCAUUUGAAACUGUGUGGCUUGAAUUAAGGAGAGGAAAGUGGAAUUCCUGGUGUAGCGGUGAAAUGCGUAGAUAUCAGGAGGAAUACCAGUGGCGAAGGCGACUUUCUGGACUCAAACUGACGCUGAGGUACGAUAGCGUGGGGAGCAAACA